AUUGAACGCUGGCGGUAGGCCUAACACAUGCAAGUCGAACGAGUGGCGGACGGGUGAGGAAUACAUCGGAAUCUCCCCUGUCGUGGGGGAUAACUAAUGGAAACUUAAGCUAAUACCGCAUACGAUUGAAUGAGCCGAUGUGGGAUUAGCUAGUUGGCGGGGUAAAGGCCCACCAAGGCGACGAUCCGUAGCUGGUCUGAGAGGAUGAUCAGCCACACUGGAACUGAGACACGGUCCAGACUCCUACGGGAGGCAGCAGUGGGGAAUAUUGGACAAUGGGCGCAAGCCUGAUCCAGCCAUACCGCGUGGGUGAAGAAGGCCUUCGGGUUGUAAAGCCCUUUCGUUGGGAAAGCGGUACCCAAAGAAUAAGCACCGGCUAACUCCGUGCCAGCAGCCGCGGUAAUUC
rnacentral:rRNA from 1 species